CAAGUACUCCCUCUGUCCGGAAUUACUUUUCAUCAAAAUGGAUGUGUCUAGAACUAAAAUACAUCUAGAUACAUCCAUUUCAAUGACAAGUAUUUUCGGACGGAGGAAGUACAAG
rnacentral:pre_miRNA from 1 species